rnacentral:rRNA from 1 species
CAGCCACAUUGGGACUGAGACACGGCCCAAACUCCUACGGGAGGCAGCAGUGGGGAAUAUUGGACAAUGGAGGAAACUCUGAUCCAGCAAUGCCAUGUGUGUGAAGAAGGCCUUAGGGUUGUAAAGCACUUUAGUUGGGGAGGAAGUUAUGUUGGUUAAUAGCUGAUGUAAUUGACGUUACCCGAAGAAUAAGCACCGGCUAACUCCGUGCCAGCAGCCGCGGUAAUACGGGGGGUGCGAGCGUUAAUCGGAAUUACUGGGCGUAAAGGGUCUGUAGGUGGUAUGUUAAGUCAGAUGUGAAAGCCCAGGGCUCAACCUUGGAACUGCAUUUGAUACUGGCAAACUAGAGUAUGGUAGAGGGAUGGGGAAUUUCUGGUGUAGCGGUGAAAUGCGUAGAUAUCAGAAGGAACACCGAUGGCGAAGGCAACAUUCUGGACCAAUACUGACACUGAGGGACGAAAGCGUGGGGAUCAAACAGGAUUAGAUACCCUGGUAGUCCACGCUGUAAACGAUGAGUACUAGCUGUUGGAUUCGGUGUAAAGGAUCUAGUGGCGCAGCUAACGCGUUAAGUACUCCGCCUGGGGACUACGGCCGCAAGGCUAAAACUCAAAGGAAUUGACGGGGACCCGCACAAGCGGUGGAGCAUGUGGUUUAAUUCGAUGCAACGCGAAGAACCUUACCUGGUCUUGACAUCCUAGAAAGGAUCCAGAGAUGGAUUUGUGCCUUAGGGAAUCUAGUGACAGGUGCUGCAUGGCUGUCGUCAGCUCGUGUUGUGAAAUGUUGGGUUAAGUCCCGCAACGAGCGCAACCCCUAUUGAUAGUUA